rnacentral:rRNA from 1 species
AUUGAACGCUGGCGGCAGGCCUAACACAUGCAAGUCGAGCGGAUGAAGGGAGCUUGCUCCUGGAUUCAGCGGCGGACGGGUGAGUAAUGCCUAGGAAUCUGCCUGGUAGUGGGGGAUAACGUCCGGAAACGGGCGCUAAUACCGCAUACGUCCUGAGGGAGAAAGUGGGGGAUCUUCGGACCUCACGCUAUCAGAUGAGCCUAGGUCGGAUCAGCUAGUUGGUGGGGUAAAGGCCUACCAAGGCGACGAUCCGUAACUGGUCUGAGAGGAUGAUCAGUCACACUGGAACUGAGACACGGUCCAGACUCCUACGGGAGGCAGCAGUGGGGAAUAUUGGACAAUGGGCGAAAGCCUGAUCCAGCCAUGCCGCGUGUGUGAAGAAGGUCUUCGGAUUGUAAAGCACUUUAAGUUGGGAGGAAGGGCAGUAAGUUAAUACCUUGCUGUUUUGACGUUACCAACAGAAUAAGCACCGGCUAACCUCGUG